rnacentral:sRNA from 1 species
CAAGACCAGUCUCUGGCAUUCCAUUUAAAGAGGGAAACUGGAAAGAUUAUUAGAAUU